rnacentral:rRNA from 1 species
CGGGAGGCAGCAGUAGGGAAUUUUCCGCAAUGGGCGAAAGCCUGACGGAGCAAUACCGCGUGAGGGAAGACUGCCUAUGGGUUGUAAACCUCUUUUUUCAGGGAGGAAUCAAUGACGUGUACCUGAAGAAUAAGCAUCGGCUAACUCCGUGCCAGCAGCCGCGGUAAGACGGAGGAUGCAAGUGUUAUCCGGAAUCACUGGGCGUAAAGCGUCUGUAGGUGGUUUAAUAAGUCGGCUGUUAAAUCUUGAGGCUUAACUUCAAAACUGCAGUCGAAACUAUUAGACUAGAGUAUAGUAGGGGUAAAGGGAAUUUCCAGUGGAGCGGUGAAAUGCGUAGAUAUUGGAAAGAACACCGAUGGCGAAGGCACUUUACUGGGCUAUUACUGACACUCAGAGACGAAAGCUAGGGUAGCAAAUGGGAUUAGAUACCCCAGUAGUCCUAGCCGUAAACAAUGGAUACUAGAUGUUGAACAGAUCGACCUGUGCAGUAUUAAAGCUAACGCGUUAAGUAUCCCGCCUGGGAAGUAUGCUCGCAAGAGUGAAACUCAAAGGAAUUG